UACGAAGGGUGCAAGCGUUACUCGGAAUUAUUGGGCGUAAAGAGCUUGUAGGCGGUUUGUCGCGUCUGCUGUGAAAAUCCGGGGCUCAACCCCGGACUUGCAGUGGGUACGGGCAGACUAGAGUGUGGUAGGGGAGACUGGAAUUCCUGGUGUAGCGGUGGAAUGCGCAGAUAUCAGGAGGAACACCGAUGGCGAAGGCAGGUCUCUGGGCCAUUACUGACACUGAGAAGCGAAAGCAUGGGGAGCGAACAGG
rnacentral:rRNA from 1 species